AAUCAACGCGGGCGGCGUGCCUAACACAUGCAAGUCGAACGAGAAGGGGACUUCGGUCCUGAGUAUAGUGGCGCACGGGUGAGUAACACGUGACUAAUCUACCCUCGAGUGGGAAUAACUGAGAGAAAUCUUAGCUAACACCGCAUAACACUUACGAGUCAAAGCAGCAAUGCGCUUGGGGAGGAGGUCGCGGCCGAUAGCUAGUUGGCGGGGUAAUGGCCCACCAAGGCGAUGAUCGGUAUCCGGCCUGAGAGGGCGCACGGACACACUGGAACUGAAACACGGUCCAGACUCCUACGGGAGGCAGCAGUGGGGAAUUUUGCGCAAUGGGGGAAACCCUGACGCAGCAACGCCGCGUGGAGGAUGAAGUAUCUCGGUACGUAAACUCCUUUCGAUGGGGAAGAUAAUGACGGUACCCAUAGAAGAAGCCCCGGCUAACUUCGUGCCAGCAGCCGCGGUAAUACGAGGGGGGCAAGCGUUGUUCGGAUUUAUUGGGCGUGAAGCGUGCGCAGGCGGUUAUGUAAGACAGAUGUGAAAUGCCCGGGCUUAACCUGGGAACUGCAUUUGUGACUGCAU
rnacentral:rRNA from 1 species